UUACGGCCUUAUCACGUUGAAACAUUGGUUCCCUUACGAUCACCGAAGUUAAUCAAUGUCGAAACUGGUCAGUACCUAGAUGGGUGACCGCUUGGGAAUAUCAAGUGCUGUAAG